rnacentral:rRNA from 1 species
UAAGAGUUUGAUCCUGGCUCAGAUUGAACGCUGGCGGCAUGCUUUACACAUGCAAGUCGGACGGCAGCACAGGGAAGCUUGCUUCUCGGGUGGCGAGUGGCGAACGGGUGAGUAACAUAUCGGAACGUACCGGGUAGCGGGGGAUAACUGAUCGAAAGAUCAGCUAAUACCGCAUACGUCUUGAGAGGGAAAGCAGGGGACCUUCGGGCCUUGCGCUAUCCGAGCGGCCGAUAUCUGAUUAGCUGGUUGGCGGGGUAAAGGCCCACCAAGGCGACGAUCAGUAGCGGGUCUGAGAGGAUGAUCCGCCACACUGGGACUGAGACACGGCCCAGACUCCUACGGGAGGCAGCAGUGGGGAAUUUUGGACAAUGGGCGCAAGCCUGAUCCAGCCAUGCCGCGUGUCUGAAGAAGGCCUUCGGGUUGUAAAGGACUUUUGUCAGGGAAGAAAAGGCCGUUGCCAAUAUCGGCGGCCGAUGACGGUACCUGAAGAAUAAGCACCGGCUAACUACGUGCCAGCAGCCGCGGUAAUACGUAGGGUGCGAGCGUUAAUCGGAAUUACUGGGCGUAAAGCGGGCGCAGACGGUUACUUAAGCAGGAUGUGAAAUCCCCGGGCUCAACCCGGGAACUGCGUUCUGAACUGGGUGACUCGAGUGUGUCAGAGGGAGGUGGAAUUCCACGUGUAGCAGUGAAAUGCGUAGAGAUGUGGAGGAAUACCGAUGGCGAAGGCAGCCUCCUGGGAUAACACUGACGUUCAUGUCCGAAAGCGUGGGUAGCAAACAGGAUUAGAUACCCUGGUAGUCCACGCCCUAAACGAUGUCAAUUAGCUGUUGGGCAACUUGAUUGCUUGGUAGCGUAGCUAACGCGUGAAAUUGACCGCCUGGGGAGUACGGUCGCAAGAUUAAAACUCAAAGGAAUUGACGGGGACCCGCACAAGCGGUGGAUGAUGUGGAUUAAUUCGAUGCAACGCGAAGAACCUUACCUGGUUUUGACAUGUGCGGAAUCCUCCGGAGACGGAGGAGUGCCUUCGGGAGCCGUAACACAGGUGCUGCAUGGCUGUCGUCAGCUCGUGUCGUGAGAUGUUGGGUUAAGUCCCGCAACGAGCGCAACCCUUGUCAUUAGUUGCCAUCAUUCGGUUGGGCACUCUAAUGAGACUGCCGGUGACAAGCCGGAGGAAGGUGGGGAUGACGUCAAGUCCUCAUGGCCCUUAUGACCAGGGCUUCACACGUCAUACAAUGGUCGGUACAGAGGGUAGCCAAGCCGCGAGGCGGAGCCAAUCUCACAAAACCGAUCGUAGUCCGGAUUGCACUCUGCAACUCGAGUGCAUGAAGUCGGAAUCGCUAGUAAUCGCAGGUCAGCAUACUGCGGUGAAUACGUUCCCGGGUCUUGUACACACCGCCCGUCACACCAUGGGAGUGGGGGAUACCAGAAGUAGGUAGGGUAACCGCAAGGAGUCCGCUUACCACGGUAUGCUUCAUGACUGGGGUGAAGUCGUAACAAGGUAGCCGUAGGGGAACCUGCGGCUGGAUCACCUCCUUU